UGAACCGUCUCGCUUAAUCUCCGAAAUUCUGGAGAACGGGGGAACCGAUACUGCGGUGCAUACUGGUCUGGAUGCACGAAGCUGUAUUUGAUUUCUUUUUCGGGUCUUUGGGGUGAAUUUGAAGGAUCUCGCCAUGAGCGGGCAUCCGGAUAUAGGGCGUCUCUCUUACGUCCGAACCCGACAGCUAACUCCGUAAGCGAAAUAAGAGGGGAAAU
rfam:Paenibacillus sp. Y412MC10, complete genome.